GGAAGGUCCGGUGGAGAACCUUGCUAAGCAUCUCAGCGACCCUUUCGGAAACAACCUGCUUACUGUCCUUUCUGGUUCUGUUGAGAGAGUCCCUACUCUCUAAAUCUAUCUUUUUGUUUUUGUAAUUGUUAACUUUGCGCUUCUUUCCGUCUCUGUAAUUCCGCCCGAUCGACCUCUGUUUUUCCUGCUUCGCUCUCUUUGUCCAUGUAUGGAGAAAUUUCAUCUGCAUAUUAUGAAACAUUGCCGUUGAGACUACUCUGCCACGUGUAUGUGUGCUUGCUCUAUGAAUUCCUGCAGGAAAUUUUUGUUUCGGUAUCAACGACGUUGAUACUCAA
rnacentral:lncRNA from 1 species